GGCUGGUCCAAGUGCAAUGGUGUUUACAGCGAAUCGAUCACAACCAUUACAGAUUCCUUUGUUUCUUCUCCACUCCCACUGCUUCUCUUGACAAGCCUUUA
ensembl:Y_RNA Y_RNA Y RNA